rnacentral:rRNA from 1 species
UGGGGAAUAUUGGACAAUGGGCGCAAGCCUGAUCCAGCCAUGCCGCGUGAGUGAUGAAGGCCCUAGGGUUGUAAAGCUCUUUCAGCGAGGAGGAUAAUGACGUUACUCGCAGAAGAAGCCCCGGCUAACUUCGUGCCAGCAGCCGCGGUAAUACGAAGGGGGCUAGCGUUGUUCGGAAUCACUGGGCGUAAAGCGCACGUAGGCGGACUUUUAAGUCAGGGGUGAAAUCCCGGGGCUCAACCUCGGAACUGCCUUUGAUACUGGAAGUCUGGAGUCCGAGAGAGGUGAGUGGAACUCCGAGUGUAGAGGUGAAAUUCGUAGAUAUUCGGAAGAACACCAGUGGCGAAGGCGGCUCACUGGCUCGGUACUGACGCUGAGGUGCGAAAGCGUGGGGAGCAAAACAGGAUUAGAUACCCUGGUAGUCCACGCCGUAAACGAUGGAAGCUAGCCGUCAGGGUGCAUGCAUCUUGGUGGCGCAGUUAACGCAUUAAGCUUCCCGCCUGGGGAGUACGGUCGCAAGAUUAAAACUCAAAGGAAUUGAC